rnacentral:rRNA from 1 species
GGGGAAUUUUCCGCAAUGGGCGAAAGCCUGACGGAGCAAUACCGCGUGAGGGAGGAAGGCUCUUGGGUUGUAAACCUCUUUUCUCAGGGAAGAAUGAUGACGGUACCUGAGGAAUAAGCAUCGGCUAACUCCGUGCCAGCAGCCGCGGUAAUACGGAGGAUGCAAGCGUUAUCCGGAAUGAUUGGGCGUAAAGCGUCCGCAGGUGGCAAUGUAAGUCUGCUGUCAAAGCGUCUGGCUCAACCAGAUAAAGGCAGUGGAAACUACAUAGCUAGAGUAAGGUAGGGGUAGAGGGAAUUCCUGGUGUAGCGGUGAAAUGCGUAGAGAUCAGGAAGAACACCGGUGGCGAAAGCGCUCUGCUGGACCUUAACUGACACUGAGGGACGAAAGCUAGGGGAGCGAAUGGGAUUAGAUACCCCAGUAGUC